rnacentral:rRNA from 1 species
UACGGGGGGAGCAAGCGUUGUUCGGAUUUACUGGGCGUAAAGAGCGUGUAGGCGGCCAAACAGGUCCGUUGUGAAAACUGGAGGCUCAACUUCCAGACGUCGACGGAAACCGUGUGGCUAGAGUCCGGAAGAGGAGAGUGGAAUUCCUGGUGUAGCGGUGAAAUGCGCAGAUAUCAGGAAGAACACCAAUGGCGAAGGCAGCUCUCUGGGACGGUACUGACGCUGAGACGCGAAAGCGUGGGGAGCGAACAGG